UAUUAUUAUGAUUUUAAAAUUAUUAUACUUAGGUAGUAAUAGUUAGGAUCUUGAAACUUAAAGAAUUUGGCGGUAUUUUAGUCUAUUUAGAGGAAUUUGUCCCGUUAUCGAUAACCCACGUUGAACCUAACUUUAAUUUAAGAAUAUGUAUAUCGCCGUUUAGAAGAUCUUUUUAGGGUUGUAUUUUCUUAAUAUUUAUUAAAUUGUAUUUCAGGUCAAGGUGCAGUUAAUAUUAAAGUGGAGAUGAAUUACAAUAUUUUAAUAUAUUAUGAAUUAUAAAUUGGAAAUAUAUUUAUAUGAAGGUGGAUUUAAUAGUAAUUUUAUAAAGAUUAUUAAUAUGAUUAUUAUUUAGCUCUAAAAUAUGUACAUAUUGCCCGUCACUCUCGUCUUAAGAUGAG
rnacentral:rRNA from 1 species